GGAAGCAGUGAGCAGGGGGGGAGUGAAAUGCUAAUGAGGGCAGUUGCAUGAGAACCAACUGCUUUCAGUCUGUUGCACACAUUCAGCCUCCUCCAGGGAUGCAAAAGGAGAUCUAAUGGAAAAAGAUGAUGAGGGGUCACUCCCGUUUUAGGGUUAUUGUACAGAGGUCAGAGAGAAGCUUCCUGGAGAUGCCCCCCCUGUUGGAGCCAGAUGACAUCAGUAAGCAGUGAUUGGUCCAAGGUUUUCUAAGUCAAUGUUGCAAAGGUAACCCCUCUGGCCAAUCAAGAGUGGCGUUGUUCAAAGCCCAUACAAUAAAAAAGUGGACUACACAAAAUCUGUCAGUCCGAUGUUUAGAGCAUCAAACGUUGGGGUAAGCAAGCUCCACCUACUUUUUUUUUUUGAGGCACCUGAUUGGUUAGUUUUAAAGUAUUAUGAAAAAUGUAUGGAAUGACUAAGUAAUAGCUGUUUAUUUAUUAAAUGAAGUCUAUGGGAGUUUGGUUUCUUGGAGGCUGUGGGGUCACUCAGUCCAGUUGUCAUAUCAAUGGGUACAGCCAAUGGGUAAAUCUGCCAUCCUCCAUGGUUCCACCAUGGUCCCCCAUCACCCUUCCCCUCCUGGAAAUAUGCAAGCUGAGUUGUCUUCAGUGGAAAAGAAUGUUGCACCGCUAGGGAAUUUUUUGCUCUUCAAAUCCUAAUUUUAUGUAGAGUACUGAGCUUUCUUGCAGUUGUUUAGGGAGAACUGGAGGGUGUUCCCAGGGGUGGUGGUGGUAGGAGGCGGGGGGUGAGGGGUCCCGAUUCGGCCGUGGACCAUUUCAAAUCAAUUAAAUGUUCAAGCAUUGAUAAUUACUCAUAUCUAAAAAAAACAUUUUAUAAGGGGGAGGGGCUAAACUUAGACACACCAUCCCCCAGACAACUUGUGAAGAGCACAACAACACAAGAGUCCAGAUUUGGGUUUCAUAAGAUCCAAGAGCAGGUGAUUUGGACAAAUCCCACUGCAUCACUCCAAGAUAGACUAUUUUGAAACAAUAAACUCAAAGGAGGAAAAUAGUGGAGAAGUAUAGCUGUCUUGAGAAGCAAAAAAUAAAAAAAUAAA